rnacentral:RNase_P_RNA from 1 species
GCAGUAGGACGGUAGAGUCGCUUGCCGACUUAUGAGCGGCAAGAGGAAAGUCCGGGCAACACAGAGCACCAUACUCUCUAACGGAGAGCUGUCGGCGACGGCAGAGCAGCGUGACAGAGAAUAACUGCCCCGUCUCCCCCCGGGAGCUCGGAGCGAGGGUGAAAAGGUGGGGUAAGAGCCCACCGGCCGUCAUGGCGACAUGGCGGGCCGCACGUCUUAUGGGUUGCAAGGCCAUGUAUACCGACACGCAUCCUUCUCUCAUCAAGGGAUGCAAUGGGUUGCUCGCCCAUUGUCGGGGGGUAGGCUGCUUGAGCGCCAAGAGGCGCCUAGAUAAAUGACUCCACCGUGGCGGUGUCCUCUCCGAGACGUGAGUUUCAGAGUAGAAGUGACGCCACGACAUAACCCGGCUUAUAGUCCUACUGCCUCU